rnacentral:piRNA from 1 species
UAACCGCUGAGCCAUCUCUCCAGUCCCCAC